AAGCUGGAGAGGGAGGGGUGGGUUGUUAGUACGCCUCGGUGCUGGCGGGGGCGGCCUACGAAAGUGUCAUGGCUGCUGCCGCCGAGCUUAGUCUCCCGACCAUCGGUGAGAGGAACCUGGAGCGGAGCUGCAGCCCCAACCUCUCCCGAGAGGUGGUCUGCGAAGUCUUUCGCUCCUUGCAUACCCUGGCUGGACAACUUAACCUCAGAGAUGAUGUGGUGAAAAUUACAAUCGAUUGGAACAAGCUCCAGAGCCUCACGGCAUUCCAGCCUGCUUUGCUCUUUAGUGCACUUGAACAACACGUUUUAUAUUUACAGCCUUUUUUAGCAAAACUUCAGCCUCUGAUUAAAGAGGAGAAUCCAACUGUUGUUGAAGAGAUAGGAAAAACAGAAACGGGGAACAAGAAUGAAGUAAAUGGCAAAUUUCCCAUUGGCGACCUACAGGAGGAAGAAAAGCACAAAGAUUGUGAUUUAGGAGAUGUGAAAAAGACACAGAUCCAUUUUGAUCCAGAAGUAGUUCAAAUAAAGGCUGGAAAAGCAGAAAUUGACAGACGAAUAUCUGCAUUUAUUGAAAGAAAGCAAGCUGAAAUCAAUGAAAACAACGUCAGGGAAUUUUGCAAUGUUAUUGAUUGUAAUCAAGAAAAUAGUUGUGCGAGAACUGAUGCCGUUUUUACUCCUUACCCUGGAUUUAAAAGUCACGUAAAAGUUUCUAGAGUUGUGAAUACAUAUGGACCACAGACUAGACCUGAAGGAAUUCAAGGGUCAGGCCAUAACCCUAGCAGCAUGCUGCGAGACUGCGGUAACCAGGCUGUGGAGGAACGACUGCAGAAUAUUGAGGCUCACUUGCGACUGCAGACAGGUGGUCCAGUGCCAAGAGACAUUUAUCAGAGAAUUAAAAAACUUGAAGAUAAAAUCCUUGAGUUGGAAGGCAUCUCUCCUGAAUAUUUUCAAUCUGUAGUUAAGCUGUUAGGAAAACAAGAGGAAGUAUAUUUUCAUCAAGAAUUUUUCUGGAAAAAGAAGAAAAGUUCAACCACCUCAAACACCACUAAUUAGUAGCAUCUAAAUCAAGAACCCCUUGGUGACGCAUUGUUGACAAAAAUUUUCUUCCAUUCCCAGAACUAUUCACUGGCUGAACUUGAUGAGAAAAUUAGUGCCCUCCGACAAGCUCUGCUCAGAAAAUCAAGAGAAGCAGAAUCCAUGGCAACUCAUCACCUUCCAUGAAAAAGUCCUCUUUCUUGUCACUUUACUUUUUUAGAUACAUGUGUGCAACUUACACUGUAAUUAGUUAAGUGGAUAUGUGUUUAUCAGUGUAGACUUACCUCUGAAAUCAAGGUUUAUUUUCAUGUCAGUUCACUUUGUAGCAAGCAGUCUUCAUAUAUUCCAGUGUACUUUGAAAUAGUUAAUGCAUUGAAAAUAGCAUUGUCAGAAUUUAUUCCCUUCUGUUUUAAAGGAGGUUAUUAUUUGAAAGUACAUCUUUUUGUGUCUUUACCACAGAAAGGAAGAGAAGGCUUUAUUUAUAUUUGUAACAUUUAUGUUAACCAGUUUUAGUUUAAAUCUGUACUUUGUACAUAAUAGGCAUUCAAUAAAAAUUUUUAAAUAAAUGUAUAUACUUUUUCCAAGUGUCAGUUUUAAUCUAGUAGAUCAUGUGCCCUUAAUCUCUUUGUGCCUUAAUUUCCUUAUCUGCAAA